CCUACGGGGGGCUGCAGUAGGGAAUAUUGGACAAUGGGGGGAACCCUGAUCCAGCCAUGCCGCGUGUGUGAAGAAGGCCCUCGGGUUGUAAAGCACUUUCAGUGAGGAAGAACGCCUGGUGGUUAAUACCCAUCAGGAAAGACAUCACUCACAGAAGAAGCACCGGCUAACUCCGUGCCAGCAGCCGCGGUAAUACGGAGGGUGCGAGCGUUAAUCGGAAUUACUGGGCGUAAAGCGCGCGUAGGUGGCUUGAUAAGCCGGUUGUGAAAGCCCCGGGCUCAACCUGGGAACGGCAUCCGGAACUGUCAAUCUAGAGUGCAGGAGAGGAAGGUAGAAUUCCCGGUGUAGCGGUGAAAUGCGUAGAGAUCGGGAGGAAUACCAGUGGCGAAGGCGGCCUUCUGGACUGACACUGACACUGAGGUGCGAAAGCGUGGGUAGCAAACAGGAUUAGAUACCCUAGUAGUC
rnacentral:rRNA from 1 species